GAUGAAGAACGUAGCGAAAUGCGAUACUUGGUGUGAAUUGCAGAAUCCCGUGAACCAUCGAGUCUUUGAACGCAAGUUGCGCCCGAAGCCAUUAGGCCGAGGGCACGCCUGCCUGGGCGUCACAUGUCGUUGCCCCCCCCAUCUACUCCUUCGGGAUUGCGGGGGGCGGAUGAUGGCCUCCCGUGCGCCUCGCCGCGCGGUUGGCAUAAAUGCCAAGUCCUCGGCGAUGCACGCCACGACAAUCGGUGGUUGCGAAACCUCGGUUGCCCGUCGUGUGCGGUCGUCGCGCAUCGAGGGCUCGAAAAAAUUGCCGGGUUCCGGCUCGGCUUUCAACGCGACCCCAGGUCAGGCGGGGUUACCCGCUGAAUUUAAGCAUAUCAAUAAGCGGAGGA
rnacentral:misc_RNA from 1 species